UGUGUAUCAGUACAUGGCAUAUCAAUAAGCGGAGGAAAAGAAAACUAACUAGGAUUCCCUCAGUAACGGCGAGUGAAGCGGGAAGAGCUCAAAUUUGAAAUCUUCAAGGUUUUACCUUGACGAAUUGUAGUUUAAAGAAGUGUUUUCUGUUGGAAUUUUGGUAAAAGUUCUUUGGAAAAAGACAUCAAAGAGGGUGAGAAUCCCGUAUUUGACCAUUAUUUCCAGCUUUGUGAUACACUUUCAAAGAGUCGGAUUGUUUGGGAAUGCAGUCCAAAAUGGGUGGUAAAUUUCAUCUAAAGCUAAAUAUUGGCGAGAGACCGAUAGCGAACAAGUACCGUGAGGGAAAGAUGAAAAGAACUUUGAAAAGAGAGUUAAACAGUACGUGAAAUUGUCAAAAGGGAAGCGUUUGACACCAGUGUUGUUUUCUCGAAAAUCAAUUAAAAAAUGAUGGAUUUUGUGUUGUAUUGACUUUAUCAGCUUUCUGCACUUUUUUCUUAGUCUUUUUUAAUGCACUUUUCGUUUAACAAGUCAACAUCAAUUUCUUUUGUUGUAAAAGAGUCAUUGGAAGGUGGCUUUCUUUUCGGAGAAAGUGUUUAUAGCCUUUGGCUUCUGCAAUCGGAGAGAUUGAGGUCUGCAGCGUAGAUCCUUCGGGAUUAGAUACAUUUGUGCUAAGUUAUAGCCUUUCAUAGACAACUUGUUGACUAUGAUCAGUCAUGUAGCUUACUCGCUUAUGCUAUUUUACCUACGCUUAGGAUGUUGACAGCAGUAUAGACUGU
rnacentral:rRNA from 1 species